rnacentral:rRNA from 1 species
UACGUAGGGUGCGAGCGUUAAUCGGAAUUACUGGGCGUAAAGCGUGCGCAGGCGGUUUUGUAAGCCAGAUGUGAAAGCCCCGGGCUUAACCUGGGAAUGGCAUUUGGGACUGCAAGGCUUGAGUGCGGCAGAGGAGACUGGAAUUCCUGGUGUAGCAGUGAAAUGCGUAGAUAUCAGGAGGAACACCUGCGGUGUAGACGGCUUACUGGACCAUAACUGACGCUGAGGCACGAAAGCGUGGGUAGCAAACAGG